ACACUGUCUCGUGUAUACCUCCUUUGGGGCCUAGCGUCCUUGCUGGCACACUGUCUCGUGUAUACCUCCUUUGAGGCUAGCCUCCUUGCUGCCGUAUUGUCUGGUGUCUACCCCUUUCACGACUAGCCUUGAUACCAUUUGUAGCAGUCCAAGUCCACUCCCGAACGGAUGUGAUCUCACGGUUCGCAAUUGAGAUGUCUGUGAUCAUGAAUAACCAGGUGAGUUGAUGAGCGGAUGAAGGAGCUUCUGGAAUUCAAACAUUUCAACCUUCAUAAUCUAAAGGCACGUGGAUCAGGAGUUGACCGCCAGCGAAGCGAAGUAUAAAACGUGCUCUCUGCUAAUUGGUCCACGUGUGAAGGGCCGCCAAAACCCGC